UGAGAUCGACCUAAGAUGGCGACUGUGGAACCGAAAACCACCCCUACUCCUAAUCCCCCGCCUACAGAAGACGAGAAAACAGAAUCUAAUCAGGAGGUUGCUAACCCAGAACACCAUAUUAAACAUCCUUUACAGAACAGAUGGGCACUCUGGUUUUUUAAAAAUGAUAAAAGCAAAACUUGGCAAGCAAACCUUCGGCUGAUCUCUAAGUUUGAUACUGUUGAAGACUCUUGGGCUCUGUACAACCACAUCCAGUUGUCUAGUAAUUUAAUGCCAGGCUGUGACUACUCACUUUUUAAGGAUGGUUUUGAGCCUAUGUGGGAAGAUGAGAAAAACAAACGAAGAGGACGAUGGCUAAUUACAUUGAACAAGCAGCAGAGAGGAAGUGACCCGGAUCGCUUUUGGCUAGAGACACUACUGUGCCUUAUUGGAGAAUCUUUUGAUGACUACAGUGAUGAUGUAUGUGGAGCUGUUGUUAAUGUUAGAACUAAAGGUGAUAAGAUAGCAAUAUGGACUACUGAAUGUGAAAACAGAGAGGCUGUUACACAUAGAGGGAGGGUAUACAAGGAAAGGUUAGGACUUCCUCCAAAGAUAGUGAUUGGUUAUCAGUCCCAUGCAGACACAGCUACUAAGAGCCGCUCCACCACUAAAAAUAGGUUUGUUGUUUAAGAAGACACCUUCUGAGUAUUCUCAUAGGAGACUGCGUCAAGCAAUGGAGAUUUGGGAGCUGAACCAAAGCCUCUUCAAAAGCAGAGUGGACUGCAUUUAAAUUUGAUUUCCAUCUAAAUGUUGCUAAGAUAUAAGAGAAGUCUCAUUCGCCUUUGUCUCGUACUUCUGUGUUCAUGGUUUUUUUUUUUUUUAUUUUGGCUAGAGUGUCCACUAUCCCAAUCAGAGAAUUACAGUACACAUCAUCCCCAGAAUCCAUAAAUGUGUUCCUGGCCCACUCUGUAAUAGCUUAGUAGAAUUACCAUUACAAACACAUCUUACCCAUCCACAAUAUUCAAAAAAGAACUUGCAUUUCUAUACCUUAUAGGAAAAAAAUUCUGUUUAUGUUCCAUUGCAUGCAGGAGCAUAUUUUGCUGGUUUGAAAGAGUAUGAAGCAUACAGUUUUCUAGCAAUUUUCUUUGUUUCCUUUUACAGCAUUGUCUUUGCUGUACUCUUGCUGAUGGCCGCUAGAUUUUAAUUUAUUUGUUUCCCUACUUGAUAACAUUAGUGAUUCUGAUUUCAGUUUUUCAUUUGUUUUGCUUUUGUUUUUUUCCUCAUGUAACAUUGGUGAAGGAUCCAGGAAUAUGACACAAAGGUGGAAUAAACAUUAAUUUUGUGCAUUCUUUGGUAAUAUUUUUGGUUUUUUGUAACUACAAAACUUUGCUACAAAUUUAUGCAUUUCAUUCAAAUCAGUGAUCUAUGUUUGUGUGAUUUCCUAAACAUAAUUGUGGAUUAUAAAAAGUGUAACAUCAUAAUUACAUUCCUAAUUAGAAUUAGUAUGUCUGUUUUUGUAUCUUUAUGCUGUAUUUUAACACUUUGUAUUACUUAGGUUAUUUUGCUUUGGUUAAAAAAUGGCUCAAGUAGAAAAGCGGUCCCAUUCAUAUUAAGACAGUGUACAAAACUGUAAAUAAAAUGUGUACAGUGAAUUGUCUUUUA